GAUGAACGCUGGCGGCGUGCCUAAUACAUGCAAGUCGAGCGAACGGACGAGAAUCUUGCUUCUCUAAUGUUAGCGGCGGACGGGUGAGUAACACGUGGAUAACCUACGUAUAAGAGUUGGAUAACUUCGGGAAACCAGAGCUAAUACCGGAUAAUAUUUUGAACCGCAUGGAUCAAAAAUGAAAGACGGUCUCGCUGUCACUUAUGGAUGAAUCCGCGCUGCAUUAGCUAGUUGGUAAGGUAACGGCUUACCAAGGCAACGAUGCAUAGCCGACCUGAGCGGGUGAUCGGCCACACUGGAACUGAGGGACGGUCCCGACUCCUACGGGAGGCAGCAGUAGGGCAUCUUCCGCACUGGGCGAAAGCCUGUCGGAGCAACGCCGCGUGAGUGAUGAAGGUCUUCGGAUCGUAAAACUCUGUUAUUCGGGAAGUACAUAUGUGUAAGUAACUGUGAACAUCUUGACGGUACCUACUCAGAAAGCCACGGCUAACUACGUG
rnacentral:rRNA from 1 species